rnacentral:ncRNA from 2 species
AUAUCAUGGUGAGUGGCGCGAAGGAACUGGCCUUACGACCGCCCGGCAACCUGUCCAUCAAGGUGCUAAAUCCAGCCCGCAAGGGGAAACAUGAGGU